rnacentral:rRNA from 1 species
ACACGAGUGGCGAACGGGUGAGUAACACGUGGGUGACCUGCCCUGUACUUCGGGAUAAGCCUGGGAAACUGGGUCUAAUACCGGAUAUGACCUUCUCCUGCAUGGGGGUUGGUGGAAAGUUUUUGCGGUACAGGAUGGGCCCGCGGCCUAUCAGCUUGUUGGUGGGGUAAUGGCCUACCAAGGCGACGACGGGUAGCCGGCCUGAGAGGGCGACCGGCCACACUGGGACUGAGACACGGCCCAGACUCCUACGGGAGGCAGCAGUGGGGAAUAUUGCACAAUGGGCGAAAGCCUGAUGCAGCGACGCCGCGUGAGGGAUGACGGCCUUCGGGUUGUAAACCUCUUUCAGUAGGGACGAAGCGCAAGUGACGGUACCUACAGAAGAAGCACCGGCCAACUACGUGCCAGCAGCCGCGGUAAUACGUAGGGUGCGAGCGUUGUCCGGAUUUACUGGGCGUAAAGAGCUCGUAGGCGGUUUGUCACGUCGUCUGUGAAAACCCGAGGCUUAACCUCGGGCCUGCAGGCGAUACGGGCAGACUUGAGUACUGUAG